rnacentral:rRNA from 1 species
GAGUUUGAUCCUGGCUCAGGAUGAACGCUGGCGGCGUGCCUAACACAUGCAAGUCGAACGAAACUUCUUUAUCACCGAGUGCUUGCACUCACCGAUAAAGAGUUGAGUGGCGAACGGGUGAGUAACACGUGGGCAACCUGCCCAAAAGAGGGGGAUAACACUUGGAAACAGGUGCUAAUACCGCAUAACCAUAGUUACCGCAUGGUAACUAUGUAAAAGGUGGCUAUGCUACCGCUUUUGGAUGGGCCCGCGGCGCAUUAGCUAGUUGGUGGGGUAAAGGCUUACCAAGGCAAUGAUGCGUAGCCGAACUGAGAGGUUGAUCGGCCACAUUGGGACUGAGACACGGCCCAAACUCCUACGGGAGGCAGCAGUAGGGAAUCUUCCACAAUGGGCGAAAGCCUGAUGGAGCAACGCCGCGUGGGUGAAGAAGGUCUUCGGAUCGUAAAACCCUGUUGUUAGAGAAGAAAGUGCGUGAGAGUAACUGUUCACGUUUCGACGGUAUCUAACCAGAAAGCCACGGCUAACUACGUGCCAGCAGCCGCGGUAAUACGUAGGUGGCAAGCGUUAUCCGGAUUUAUUGGGCGUAAAGGGAACGCAGGCGGUCUUUUAAGUCUGAUGUGAAAGCCUUCGGCUUAACCGGAGUAGUGCAUUGGAAACUGGGAGACUUGAGUGCAGAAGAGGAGAGUGGAACUCCAUGUGUAGCGGUGAAAUGCGUAGAUAUAUGGAAGAACACCAGUGGCGAAAGCGGCUCUCUGGUCUGUAACUGACGCUGAGGUUCGAAAGCGUGGGUAGCAAACAGGAUUAGAUACCCUGGUAGUCCACGCCGUAAACGAUGAAUGCUAAGUGUUGGAGGGUUUCCGCCCUUCAGUGCUGCAGCUAACGCAAUAAGCAUUCCGCCUGGGGAGUACGACCGCAAGGUUGAAACUCAAAGGAAUUGACGG